rnacentral:lncRNA from 1 species
CCAAAGUUCUUCCAACAAUUUAAGCCAGGAAUUGCCCCACUGUUUCCGAGGUGAUGAGAGCCUCUGAGAGAAAGUGCUAGGAUUACAGGCAUGAGCCACUGCACCCAGCCUCACAGAGCUCCUAAAUUAUAAGAGUGGGGAUUUGAACCCAGAUGAGAAAACUGAGGCACAUAGGGUUAAGUAGAUUGUCCAAGGUCACUGCUGAUAACUGCAGCACUGGGAUUUGAAGCACUGAACUCUGCUGACUCCUGAGAAGCAUACCUCUAACAGCUGAGAUUUCCAAGGCUUUUUGGCCAAUGUGUUUGUCAACAUCUGCAACAAAUUUCCAGAACUCAGGCCAGAGCCCUGGGCAAAGCCUCCUUUUUUGUCUCCUCUUUUUAUCUCCCAGUGCAGUAGGAAGCCAUCAGAUGAUUUUAAAUGGAGAAGUAAGACACUUGGAUCUGUGCCUAAAAGAAUCACUCUGCUGUUGAGUUCCUGAGAAGCAGACUCUGAGAUAGAGAUCAUUUUGUGGGAAGCUUAUUGGGAGGUGCUCUUGGGAUCCACACCUGUAGAAGCCUCUUUGCUCCCCACACUUCAGGACUGG